UAGGGAAUCUUCGGCAAUGGACGGAAGUCUGACCGAGCAACGCCGCGUGAGUGAAGAAGGUUUUCGGAUCGUAAAGCUCUGUUGUAAGAGAAGAACGAGUGUGAGAGUGGAAAGUUCACACUGUGACGGUAUCUUACCAGAAAGGGACGGCUAACUACGUGCCAGCAGCCGCGGUAAUACGUAGGUCCCGAGCGUUGUCCGGAUUUAUUGGGCGUAAAGCGAGCGCAGGCGGUUAGAUAAGUCUGAAGUUAAAGGCUGUGGCUUAACCAUAGUACGCUUUGGAAACUGUUUAACUUGAGUGCAAGAGGGGGGAGUGGAAUUCCAUGUGUAGCGGUGAAAUGCGUAGAUAUAUGGAGGAACACCGGUGGCGAAAGCGGCUCUCUGGCUUGUAACUGGCGCUGAGGCUCGAAAGCGUGGGGAGCAAACAGGAUUAGAUACCCUGGUAGUCCACGCUGUAAACGAUGAGUGCUAGGUGUUAGACCCUUUCCGGGGUUUAGUGCCGUAGCUAACGCAUUAAGCACUCCGCCUGGGGAGUACGACCGCAAGGUUG
rnacentral:rRNA from 1 species